UACGUAGGGGGCUAGCGUUGUCCGGAAUCAUUGGGCGUAAAGCGCGUGUAGGCGGCCCGGUAAGUCCGCUGUAAAAGUCAGGGGCUCAACCCUUGAAAGCCGGCCGAUACUGUCUGGCUAGAGUCCGGAAGGGGCGAGUGGAAUUCCUGGUGUAGCGGUGAAAUGCGCAGAUAUCAGGAGGAACACCAAUGGCGAAGGCAGCUCGCUGGGACGGUACUGACGCUGAGGCGCGAAAGCGUGGGGAGCGAACAGG
rnacentral:rRNA from 1 species